UACAGAGGGUGCAAGCGUUAUUCGGAAUUACUGGGCGUAAAGCGCAUGUAGGUGGUUUAGUAAGUCUGGUGUGAAAUCCCUCGACUCAAUCGAGGAAGUGCAUUGGAUACUGCUAGACUAGAGUAUGGGAGAGGUGAGUGGAAUUCCAGGUGUAGAGGUGAAAUUCGUAGAUAUCUGGAGGAACAACAGAGGCGAAGGCGGCUCACUGGACCAUUACUGACACUGAGAUGCGAAAGCGUGGGGAGCAAAC
rnacentral:rRNA from 1 species